CCUACGAGAGGCUGCAGUGGGGAAUAUUGCACAAUGGGGGAAACCCUGAUGCAGCGACGCCGCGUGAGUGAAGAAGUAUUUCGGUAGGUAAAGCUCUAUCAGCAGGGAAGAAGAAAGACGGUACCUGACUAAGAAGCCCCGGCUAACUACGUGCCAGCAGCCGCGGUAAUCCGUAGGGGGCAAGCGUUAUCCGGAUUUAAUGGGUGUAAAGGGAGGGUAGACGGCUGUGCAAGUCUGAAGUGAAAGCACAGGGCUCAACCCUGGGACUGCUUUGGAAACUGUGGAGCUAGAGUGCUGGAGAGGUAAGUGGAAUUCCUAGUGUAGCGGUGAAAUGCGUAGAUAUUAGGAGGAACACCAGUGGCGAAGGCGGCUUACUGGACAGUAACUGACGUUGAGGCUCGAAAGCGUGGGGAGCAAACAGGAUUAGAUACCCGAGUAGUC
rnacentral:rRNA from 1 species